rnacentral:rRNA from 1 species
GAAGUGGGGAUGACGUCAAGUCAGCAUGGCCUUUAUAUCCUGGGCUACACACACGCUACAAUGGGAAGGGACAAUAGGUUGCGAAGCCGCGAGGCGGAGCCAAUCCAGCAAAACUUCCCUCAGUUCAGAUUGCAGGCUGCAACCCGCCUGCAUGAAGUUGGAGUUGCUAGUAAACGCAGGUCAGCCAUACUGCGUUGAAUACGUUCCCGGGGCUU